UUCUGGUUGAUCCUGCCAGACCUGACUGCUAUCGGAUUGGUACUAAGCCAUGCGAGUCAUUGUAGCAAUACAAGGCGGACGGCUCAGUAACACGUAGUCAACCUAACUCGUGGACGUGGAUAACCUCGGGAAACUGAGAAUAAACCACGAUAGAUCAUAGUGCCUGGAAUGGCUUAUGGUCCAAACAGUUUACUGCCAUGGGAUGGGACUGCGGCCUAUCAGCUUGUUGGUGAGGUAAUGGCCCACCAAGGCGAUUACAGGUACGGGCUCUGAGAGGAGAAGCCCGGAGAUGGGUACUGAGACACGGACCCAGGCCCUAUGGGGCGCAGCAGGCGAGAAACCUUAGCAAUGUGCGAAAGCACGACUGGGUCAGUCCGAGUGAUUCCUGAUAAAGGAGUCCUUUGCUUGUCCUAAAAGCACAGGUGAAUAAGGGGUGGGCAAGUCUGGUGUCAGCCGCCGCGGUAAUACCAGCACCUCGAGUGGUCAGGACGUUUAUUGGGCCUAAAGCAUCCGUAGCCGGCUCUGCAAGUCUUCGGUCAAAUCCACCUGCUCAACAGAUGGGCUGCUGGAGAUACUACAGAGCUAGGGAGUGGGAGAGGCAGACGGUAUUCAGUGGGUAGGGGUAAAAUCCUCUGAUCCAUUGAGGACCACCAGUGGCGAAGGCGGUCUGCCAGAACACGUUCGACGGUGAGGGAUGAAAGCUGGGGGAGCAAACCGGAUUAGAUACCCGGGUAGUCCCAGCUGUAAACGAUGCAAACUCGGUGAUGCAUUGGCUUAUGGCCAAUGCAGUGCCGCAGGGAAGCCGUUAAGUUUGCCGCCUGGGAAGUACGGACGCAAGUCUGAAACUUAAAGGAAUUGGCGGGGGAGCACCACAAGGGGUGAAGCCUGCGGUUCAAUUGG
rnacentral:rRNA from 1 species